GACUUUUGGUGGAGGAACCAGACUGGAUGUUGGAAGUUAUGUCCAUCCAACCCUGACGGUGCUGCCCCCCUCCAGUGAGGAGCUGCAGCAGGGGAAGGCCACGCUCAUGUGUCUGGCCAACAAGGGCUUCCCCUCAGACUGGAGUCUGGCCUGGAAGGUGGAUGGCUGCAUCAGCAGCAUCAACUGGGAAGAGAGCAGGAGCCCUGGGGUGCUGGAGAAGGACGGCCUCUACAGCUGGAGCAGCACCCUGAGGCUCCCUGCGGACCAGUGGAGGAAGGUGGGCUCUGUGACCUGUGAGGCCACCCAGGGCUCCCAGACUCCACUCUCAAAGACACUGAGGAGAGACCAGUGUUCCCAGUCCUGACCUGACUCACUGGGACUCUGCUGCUGGUUUUACUCUGCUACUGCUCUCAGUCUGCAAUCUGGAACUAUCUGUUUGAUUUGUCUUAGAUUUGACAUCUUUCAAUAGCCAUAUUUACCAGCUUGUGGCAAUAUUUCAAUGUUAUUUCACUAUUUCCACAUAAUAAAGACAUGUUUAUCAAAUCAGUUGUUUUCAUCUUUAUU